GCUGAAGAUGAGCUACUGUGAACUCCAUUUUAAAAUAUAGAUUACAGUUUAUGCUAAAUCCUUCUGGUUUUGCACUUUAUUGUUUUCCAUUUGUCAGAAUCUGAUAGACGCAGAAAACCCUAUGAAACUUCCUGCUUCAAGAAUUCUUGAUGGAAUUGUUCCAGUUCUGCCUGUGCAGUUCAAAUACAUUUAUUUUCUAGCUGAUUAUAAGACCAGACCACAAAGAGCUGAGCCAAGCUUAGCAGAAAGCAAACUUAGGGCUGUGUCCUACCUGGCCAGUGACUGGGUAUCAAACUGUGCAAAAGGAAGAGAGAAAUACUUUCUUACAGACUUAGGUCAGAGUUCUAAUGUAUUUGUUAGUGUGUGAUUUCUGCAUUGGGUAGACUCUGCAAAGAUACAUUAGGAUCUAGGGGUGUCCUUGGAACAUGCACAGCAGCUUGCCAGGGGAGCUGAUUGGUAUAAGUGACCCCAGUUUGAAUCCAUCGAGGACUAGCUCCAUGAAGAGAUUUAAAUGACUGACGUGGAGUUCAAGGUACACAUAUCCCAAACUAUGGAAGGCAUAGAGAGCACACUGGCAGUAAAACUGCCAUUUUUUCCCCUUCAUAGAAUGGUAGAGGCUGGAAAUAAGGACAUUUAAUAACAAAGCAAUUUUUAGGUGCCAGAGAUCUACUCGAUGCCUGAGUUUUAACUAUUGAUGCUGCGUGUCCUGUGCAGCCAGUGCUGGUUGGUGUGUGAUGUGAAGCUCUUUAGGAAGGUACUGCCUCCCACCAUUUCCAACUUAGGAAACUUUCUGGAUCCUUUCCAGGAUACAACUCAGCUAUAUGUUCAAGUAAGUGUUGGAGCUUCCAUCUGUUUUCUGAUUCCAUUAUAGUACCAUACUCUUAAUUUUUCAGUGAUCUAUGAAUUUUUUUUCUUUUGAUACCUGGAUCUGCUAUGCAUUCUGAAUUCAUUUGGAUGUUAAAAUACAGCAGAGAAAAUUGUGGUGACAAAGCAAACAAGUUAAAAGUUUAUUUUGGCAUGAAAUGGUAAGACUAUUAUCUUUGAUGGACUAGGUGAAAGCAAGCCUGGACCUAAGCUUCAUGAUCAUGAAGGAUCUCACCUUUAUCAGUGGAAAAAUGGUAAUUCUAGUUUAGACAACUAGAACAACUAUUUCUAGUUGAAGUGAAUGCAAUGAAAAAAUGAUCACCCUGCUGUCUGUUUGGGGCAAUAUGAUAAAGCACAGUUGGUCUGAUAUGCCCUCCAACAUUCUCAGGUGCCUUUUCACAACCUCCUUUGGAGGGGUUUAUGCCUGUGGUGGGAGAUCUGACUGAACAUCUGUAAAACAGAUGAAGGUUGGCAUGGGAGACCAGAGAUUAUCGAACUGUGAAUUGCACACAGUUAUCAUCUUUUUUUAUCUUUCAAAAUAUCACAGCCAGGAAACUUUAAGGAUUCUCAUGUACUUCCUCAGUACUGAUGCACUUUGAAUUGUUACAGCACAUUUUGAAUCAUCUCCGUGGAAGAUGAGGAGGCAGAUAAAGCCCUUUACUGCAGAAGGCAGUUUGCUGGAGCGUCUUUAUGGAUAUAAUUUUCAGAGGACCUCUUGAGCUGUUGAUCAAAAAGGCAAAUCUAAGUGAACUUCCAAGAAUCAUCUUAAAAUGAGCAGUGUCACCAUGAAGGUACAACAGCCACACCAUGAUGGGAUAUUUGCUGGUACGCAGUGAAGAACAUAAAAUCUCUACAAGAGCAGCCUGAAGUGCAGCGCUGAGCUGAUGGACAAGCACAUGGAGAGAAUAAAUCACAAACUGUUCUUCAGGAGAAGAAAAGUUAAUGUAACUCUUUGCUUGUCUCUUCUGACCUAGGGACCUUAAGAAAAAAGUAAAUAGUGCUGAUGCAGAGGAAGACUGUGCAAGACUCCGACUUGAAAAGAAGGUACACUUGAAAUGGUACAUAUUAUUAAGGAAACCCUUGUAUCUGGAAAAAGUAAUUUCAGAAGCUAUGUUAUGGAGUUGCCCUUAAAACAGUAGUUACAUGUACUAAAUGCUGAGGUUUGUGGAAAUGGGCUGGCCAGAUGCAAUCACACAGAUUUAGCACAGCCCAGCACCUGCUGUCUUGGCCUGGCCACGUGGAUACAAAGAUCAGUGCAGAUACUUGAUGACCACAGCAAGAUUAUCUGUUACAAGGCUUGAUUUUCCCAAGAGUCAUGUGAAAACACCUGUGAUUUUUAAUUGAUUUAAUUAAUGAGUAAACUGGAUGAAGCUGAAUGUAAGUUUGUGUUUGGAAGAGGAGACGAAGUGCUGAAGCAAGAGAACCAGUAGUUUUCUCUACUGGGAGAAGGGAAGAGCCUGUUUCCUGCUACAAAGCUCAUGUUUGAGGAGAACAGAGGACACAAGUAGUUUUUACCUGAAAAUGUGCUGAUAUGUGAGUAUAUGCAGGUGGACAGAAACCUCAUAUUUUCAUUCAGGUUUUCACUGUAUAGCUUUGAUCUGAAAUAACUGGGACAGAGGAGAGUUUUUAGCAGUUCUUUCUUACAUGGUAAAUGGCAUUUCUUUACAGAUAUCACAUUCAUAGAUAUAUUAAGAAACCACUUCU